GGCAAACCAUCGCCGUGCCUCCUACCACUUCCGCACUUCAGUGGCAGGUUUGGCCGAUUGUAGCACCGAUCAUAACUACGCAGGAGUUCUAUUUACUGACUACCAUUUCCAGUUCUUCCGUCGCUGUGACUGAUCAACACCAGAUGACGCUGCGGUCAGAACAGCCCUCCAGAAGCUACAUCCGGUAUCUGACCAUGUCGGAGGAAGAAAGUUAUUACUAUUUGUUGCUGAAAAAAGCCAUUCGAAAUACGUUUUUUUCUUACUUUUAAAACGUUUCUUAUUCUCAUUUUUAGUUUCGGAAUUUAUCUGAUCGCACUCAGAUCAUCGUUUGCUGUGACCGACUGCUCUGUGUAUUCCUUUAGUGAACUGAGCGCAUUUCAUAUGUACUGCUGUGUGCAAUGAUGUUGACCGAAAACUUUGUGUAAAUAAUAAAAUCUAGUGAAAAAUCGA